rnacentral:lncRNA from 1 species
GACGGAUGAUGAGGCAACAACAAGGAAUGCCACAUCCCAAAGCGCCUCUAUUACUCAAGGUAGCCAAUCAGAACGUCCUCAAGGGUAGUAAAGAGACUGGUACAGAUGAAUCAAUGAAGGAACUGCCAGAAACCUCUUCUGGGAGGUCAAGGUUUGAGAGGGACAAAAAGGACGAAGAAGAUCCAGAUCAGCCCCUUGCUAUCCAAUUCGGU